CCUACGGGGGGCAGCAGUGGGGAAUAUUGGACAAUGGGGGCAACCCUGAUCCAGCCAUGCCGCGUGUGUGAAGAAGGCCCUCGGGUUGUAAAGCACUUUCAGUGAGGAAGAACGCCUGGUGGUUAAUACCCAUCAGGAAAGACAUCACUCACAGAAGAAGCACCGGCUAACUCCGUGCCAGCAGCCGCGGUAAUACGGAGGGUGCGAGCGUUAAUCGGAAUUACUGGGCGUAAAGCGCGCGUAGGUGGCUUGAUAAGCCGGUUGUGAAAGCCCCGGGCUCAACCUGGGAACGGCAUCCGGAACUGUCAAGCUAGAGUGCAGGAGAGGAAGGUAGAAUUCCCGGUGUAGCGGUGAAAUGAGUAGAGAUCGGGAGGAAUACCAGUGGCGAAGGCGGCCUUCUGGACUGACACUGCCACUGAGGUGCGAAAGCGUGGGUAGCAAACCGGAUUAGAUACCCUAGUAGUC
rnacentral:rRNA from 1 species